AUGAAAGAAAAAUAUAAAAUUCUUGUCUGGAAAAGCAGUAGAGAGAACAAUCUAGUUAUAAUUAACUGGGCUCUAAGAUCUACUAUUUCUGUAUGCGUAAGACCAUGUAGUAAUAACACCACCAGUUGCAUAAUUAAAAGUAUCUUUAAGAAAGCAAAUAUUGCAAAUCAAUUUAGGGUCACUGAUUGCCUAGAUUUUUUCCACUGUGGCCCAACCUUUAGAUGAGACAGAAAGGGAAAUAAUACUUCAGAAAAAUACCUGUUUAUUUCAUUCUGAUUUUUACUCUGAGGAAUUGAAGAAGUAAUCAUACUUCAUAUGUAAGCAAAAAUGAACAUCCUAACAUAUGUAUGGAUAUUAAAGCCUAGCUAAUUUUUCUUUUAUUUUGCUGUGUUGAACAAAAGGUUAAAUUUCAUUUAACCAACUUGAUAUGGCAAAUACUUUGUAGAAUGAAGAGAUUGCAAAAUGUAGGAAAAGCAGUUUUUUGCCUUCAAAGGGCUUAAGCCAGAGUAAAAGAUUUCACAAAAGCAACUGUAAUAUUAUAUUUCUACAAAAACUUUGCUCAAGCUUAAAUAUUUCUCCAUGUAUUAUCAAAGAUACACAAAUUCCCUAUGAGGUAUUUUAUACAAUUUUAAAAUCAUUUGAAAAGAUUAGUAGAGUCCUACUUGAGAACAUCCAGUGGGCUUUCCUCUAACCAAGAACUGCUGCAGACUUACAAACAUAUCUGUGUUUGAGUUUUUGAUCAAGCUGAUACCUAAAGUUAGUUUUUUUAAAUGUAUUGAUAAGCUUGUUUAGUUGCUAUUAAUUUCCUAACAUCAAAGUGAUCGAAAUGGGCCAAAUUCUAUUGAAUACUCAAAUUUAAAACUUUACUUGUAAAGUGAUAGUUCACAAUAGAAAUAUAUAUCAUAACUUGACUUUAGCUUUUAAAUAUGUUUAAAAAUAUCAUUUUAAUUUGAUACCACAAAAGUGACAGUGUGGCAGAACAAUGUAUUUUUUAAAAGGUUGUGGGCUAAUAAUACAGUCACAAUCACUGAUACUGAGGCUAAUGAUGGAUUUGUACAAAAUGUUGGAUACAGAUGCUGUCAGGUUGCACUGUAUAUAUAAAGUUUCACUAUUACUACAAUAAAAAAAAACAAUGUUCACCAACGAUUUUCUAAGCACUUUGUAUGAAUUUAUUUAAUCUUUUGAUAGGCAGAAUCAUGGCCCCUCAAAGAUGUCCACAUCCUAAUUCCCAGAAUGUAUAAAUAUUCUACAUAUGGCCGGGCAUAGUGGCUCACGCCUGUAAUUCAAGCACUUUGGAGGCCAAGGUGGGCGGAUCACCUGAGGUGGGGAGUUCAAGACCAACCUGACCAACAUGGUGAAACCCCAUCUAUAAAAAAAUAAUAAUAAUAAAUAAAUAAAUAUUUUACAUAUAGGGCAAAAGAGACUUUGAAGAUAUAAUUAAAGUCAUAGGCCUUAAAUAUAGAGAUUACUUUGGAUUAUCUGGAGUGGCC
rnacentral:lncRNA from 1 species